GUAGUUAGCCGGGGCUUUCUUACAGGGUACCGUCACUUCUUCGUCCCCUGCGACAGAGGUUUACAAUCCGAAAACCUUCUUCCCUCACGCGGCGUUGCUGGGUCAGGCUUGCGCCCAUUGCCCAAUAUUCCCCACUGCUGCCUCCCGUAGGAGUCUGGACCGUGUCUCAGUUCCAGUGUGGCCGAUCAGCCUCUCAGCUCGGCUACCCAUCGUCGGCUUGGUGGGCUGUUAUCUCACCAACUACCUAAUGGGACGCGAACCCCUCUAAAAGCGAUAAAUCUUUGACCUCUUCCCGAUGCCGGGUUGUGGUCUUAUGCGGUAUUAGCAGUUGUUUCCACCUGUUAUUCCCCACUCUUAGGCAGGUUGUUCACGCGUUACUCACCCGUGCGCCACUAGAAUUAUCAAUUCCAUCCGAAAACUUCCUUAAUAAUCCCCGUUCGACUUGCAUGUGUUAGGCACGCCGCCAGCGUUCGUCCUGAGCACGAUACAACUACUGA
rnacentral:rRNA from 1 species